UACGUAGGGGGCAAGCGUUGUCCGGAAUUAUUGGGCGUAAAGAGCGUGUAGGCGGUCCGGUAAGUCAGCUGUGAAAGUCAAGGGCUCAACCCUUGAAAGCCGGUUGAUACUGUCGGGCUAGAGUCCGGAAGAGGCGAGUGGAAUUCCCGGUGUAGCGGUGAAAUGCGCAGAUAUCGGGAGGAACACCAAUGGCGAAGGCAGCUCGCUGGGACGGUACUGACGCUGAGAGACGAAAGCUAGGGGAGCGAAUGGG
rnacentral:rRNA from 1 species